UGAGCAUCCUGGGUUGUCAGUACAUCAUGCAUACUGUCACCCAUUAAUACUGAGAGGGUAACAUGUUCUAAGGAGUCUCUGAGAGGACUCUGUUUUAUUCAAAUCUUCCUUUGGCUGAUUUUCUACAUCUUUUGCCUGCAAUAAAUGUAACUAUUACUUACUAAUGGAUGUAAUUCCUGACACUUAGCUGGAGAAAAAUUGCUUUAUUGGGCCAGAUAAACUUGCCAGGAUUGAGGCCAUCAAGCUACAGAUGGUCGUACAAAUGGAACCCCAAAUGAGCGCAACUCACAACUUCUACUGAGGACCUCUGGACCGACUCACUGGCCCUUUGACUGGCCUAGAGAGUUCCCCUCUGGAGGAUGCUACAACUGCAGGGCCCCUUCUUUGCCCCUAUCCAGCAGGAAGUAGUUAGAACAGUCAUUGCCCAGUUCCCAACAGCAUUUGGGGUGUCCUGUAUAAUGGGGGGAUUGACAGGCGAAGCCAGCUGGACUUCCUGGGUUCAGUGGGGACUUGGAGAACUUUUCUGUCUUACAAGAGGAUUGUAAAAUGCACCAAUCACUGCUCUGUAAAAACGCACCAAUCAGCACUCUGUAGCUAGCAAGAGGAUUGUAAAAUGCACCAAUCAUUGCUCGUAAAAAGCACCAAUCAGUGCUCUAUAAACCGCACCAAUCAGCACUCUGUAAAAUGCACCAAUCAUCAGGAUCCUAAAAGUAGCCAUUCGCAGGGAGGAUUGAAAAAAGGGCACUCUGAUAGGACAGAAAUGGAACAUGGGAGGGCCAAUAAGGGAAUAAAAACUGGCAACCCCUAGAUAGCAGUGGCAACCUGCUUGGGUCCCCUUCCAUGCUGUGGAAGCUUUGUUCUUUUGCUCUUCACAAUAAACCUUGCUACCACUCACUCUUUGGGUCCAUGUCAUCUUUAAGAGCUAUAACACUCACAGUGAAGACCCACAGCUUCAUUCUUGAAGUCAGUGAGACCAUGAGGAACCACCUCCAGACACAAUGUGAAAGCCAUCCAGGCUUAGAGCUUUCAUUCUCUGGA
rnacentral:lncRNA from 10 species